GUUUCCAUAGAAACCUUCAUAUAGACUAUGCUGACUUGAGUAAUGAUAAAUUGCUAGUAUCAGCUAUCCAUAGUAAACUGAUUCCGUUUUGACCGGUCAUU
rnacentral:rRNA from 1 species